AUUGAACGCUGGCGGCAUGCUUUACACAUGCAAGUCGAACGGCAGCGGGGGCUUCGGUCCGCCGGCGAGUGGCGAACGGGUGAGUAAUGCAUCGGAACGUGCCCAGUCGUGGGGGAUAACACAUCGAAAGAUGUGCUAAUACCGCAUACGUCCUGAGGGAGAAAGCGGGGGAUCUUCGGACCUCGCGCGAUUGGAGCGGCCGAUGUCGGAUUAGCUAGUUGGUGGGGUAAAGGCCCACCAAGGCGACGAUCCGUAGCGGGUCUGAGAGGAUGAUCCGCCACACUGGGACUGAGACACGGCCCAGACUCCUACGGGAGGCAGCAGUGGGGAAUUUUGGACAAUGGGGGCAACCCUGAUCCAGCCAUGCCGCGUGAGUGAAGAAGG
rnacentral:rRNA from 1 species